GGUCUGUGAUGAAUAGUAAAAGGUCUGAUGAUCCUAAGGCUUGUUCUUCCCAUGACCUUGUUUCCCAGCAGUUUCUCACCAGUCAUGACACAGUCAUGCUGUGGCUGGCAGAGUGUUUGCUGACAGCCUGUGGUGUGCUCAGCUCAUGUUGACCUCAAGCACUGGAGACAUGACUGGCAUUAGCAUCCAACAGUCUUUACCUGAAGGAAUCUGGGGUCUUGGAUUAUCAUAGCUGGACAUGUGAUCUGACUUUUCUGCUGAGACC
rnacentral:snoRNA from 1 species